rnacentral:lncRNA from 1 species
UUCAAUUGCCCCGGGACUGACGCAUCUCCUCACGUGGUCGAGGUCUCCACGAACCCAAAGUGGAAACGCCGAGAAAACGAUAGACAGCCGGCCACAUGACCCAGGCAGAGACCCAGAAAGAGGCUCAACAAAGACCAGACGACAUGCAAAAAUAGCUUCUUUGGCGCACAAGGCACAUUCGUCCAAACAAACACACGCACAAGGACACAAACAAACCGACAGAGAGAGGGAAAGAGUAAGAGACAGAGAGAGAGGAGAGAAUAGGAGACACACACACACACACACACACACAGAAACAAAAACACACAGUCAUACAGCACUGGCACAGAAACACACC